GAGGGACUGGCAGAAGGGUAAUGCGUAGCUCUCCUACUGAUUGGACAAUGGUUUCCCUCUUUGAAAAAAGAGGGAAGUUCCGGGACCAAGCUAAGCUAAGAUUGUGGGUUCGAGUCCCACGUUCCUCG
rnacentral:tRNA from 1 species